rnacentral:rRNA from 1 species
UACGUAGGGGGGCAAGCGUUGUCCGGAUUUAUUGGGCGUAAAGAGCGUGUAGGCGGCCAGGUAGGUCAGCUGUGAAAACUCGAGGCUCAACCUCGAGACGUCGGUUGAAACCACCUGGCUAGAGUCCGGAAGAGGAGAGUGGAAUUCCUGGUGUAGCGGUGAAAUGCGCAGAUAUCAGGAAGAACACCCGUGGCGAAGGCGGCUCUCUGGAACGCAACUGACGCUGAGACGCGAAAGCGUGGGGAGCAAACAGG